rnacentral:lncRNA from 1 species
CUUACAUACUGCAGAUGCUAUCUAUAAACUCCCCCUUCAAUUUUAAGUGAAGUGUUUAUCAGGUGGGAAAAUCUCUCCAAAAAGGAUAAAAAUAUCAGAGACAGCCAGACAAUAUUUGGUUCACUAGAGAAAAAUAUCAGUUUCUUACAGGGAGUAGAGGAAGCAGCAGAAACUGUACAUAACCAGAAAACAAAAGCAUAAUUGUUAAUGUUAUUUGAAAUCCACGAAUGCCUUAUUUGGUGCUCUCACCUGAGAUGGAAGACCAUCAGCUUUUUCUAAAUGAGCGUGCUGAUAUUUUCCAGUAAUUCUCAGUUUUAAAGCAGUGACAGGAUUUCAAAGGAAGAAAGACAAAAACAAUUUUCUGUUGAGAAAUACAGUCCAUAAUUCAGAAGACACUGAGGAUGCAGAAAAAGAGUGACAACAGGCCAAGUGUAAAUUGUCAGGAAUGUAAAGGCUCUUAGUGCAAAUGAGAAGUAGGCUUCCAAGAGCUUUUCAUCUGAUGAUUGUGAAGUGAUUCAUGCUGCACUGCUACUGCUGCCAUUAAGGAUGAGAAGACAGAAUGAACUGUGGGAGAUUGACAGUUUUGUAAAUCAGGACAUAAAUACUGAGUUGCAGGCGCCUGAAAACUCAGGUACUAUCCCAUGGGGACCAGAUGGCACGUUACAUGCAAAAGCCAAGAACUGAAACUUUAAGACCCCCUGUUUAUAGCGGAAAAGAAAUUUGUGAGGCCUGGCUACUCUUUGCAUAGGUGUAAGUUUAUACAACAGCAGUUAUCCCUUGUGUCCAUCCCUGUCUCUGUCU